AGUUCUGUUCAGAGUAUAAAAACACCACUGUCGGGUGAAAAUUACGUCAAAAUUUAAAGAAAAUGUAAUGUGCCGUGCAAAAUCCUAGCACAACCCCAAUAAAAUUGUACUUAAAGUUAAUUAUUUGAACGGUAAAUGUUGUUAAAAUAUGAUUUUACUUGCAAAAUUCAUCCAUUCGUGCAGUGAGGUAAAAUCAACGCUAAUCUCAUAUUUGUAAUUAGCGUUUUAUGAUGAAUUGAGAUUAGCUUUUAUAGCGUAUAAGUGAUAAUGACAUUUAAGUGCAAACGGUAGAAAAUAUAAAGCAGGAAAAAAUUCUUUCACUUCAUUAACCAGCAGGGGUCAACACAGACCUUCACCGAAAUACCCAUCAAAUUCUCAUGAAAUUGUGCAGCAUAAGUGGUUGGUUUUGUAGGCAACUAUUAGACUGCCGAUGAGGUUAACCAGAAAAAAUGUUAAUAAGAUGCCUUAAGGCUUUAGGAUGUUGCAGUGGAAGUUUCCUGCCAUCUGAACUCAGCAGUCGGCCUCUGGCAACCACAGAUAUGGCGAUGAGGGGACAAAUAUGGCACAGGUGAUAACUCAAAAUGGCCAGGGAGUUUCUUCAAAGCGUUUGCAGGGGUUAACAAAAAGAUGAGAGAAGGAAAACGGAGAAAAGAAGAGACGGCGCAAGAGAUACGGUGAUCCAGACUGUGAUAACCAUCUUGACUUAAACUGCAGGUGUGAAGUGAGAGGGAUGGCGGUAAAGACAAGACAGGUGGAGAGAGGGGACAAACCUGUCCACUCACUGCUUAGCUUUUACAUGUUAAGCAAUGCUGACUUUAUGUCUAAAUAGUCUGUAGACGUUGUGGUGUGUUUGUAUUAUGUACAUUUGUUUCAUUUAUUUAAAAAAAAUUGUGUGCAUGCAUAUGUGUGUGUGUGUGUGGAGGGGGAUGCAAUAUAGUA